rnacentral:rRNA from 1 species
AUUGAACGCUGGCGGCAUGCCUUACACAUGCAAGUCGAACGGCAGCACGGGAGCAAUCCUGGUGGCGAGUGGCGAACGGGUGAGUAAUGUAUCGGAACGUGCCCAGUCGUGGGGGAUAACGUAGCGAAAGCUACGCUAAUACCGCAUACGAUCUAUGGAUGAAAGCGGGGGAUCGCAAGACCUCGCGCGAUUGGAGCGGCCGAUAUCAGAUUAGGUAGUUGGUGGGGUAAAGGCCCACCAAGCCUGCGAUCUGUAGCUGGUCUGAGAGGACGAGCAGCCAAACUGGAGCUGGGGCACGGUCCCGACUCCUACGGGAGGCGGCAGUGGGGAAUUUUGGACAAUGGGGGCAAGCCUGAUCCAGCAAUGCCGCGUGCAGGAUGAAGGCAUUCGGGUUGUAAACUGCUUUUGUACGGAACGAAACGGCUUUUUCUAAUACAGAGAGCUAAUGACGGUACCGUAAGAGUAAGCACCGGCUAACUACGUGCCAGCCGCCGCCGUAACAC